CCUACGGGAGGCAGCAGUGGGGAAUUUUGGACAAUGGGCGAAAGCCUGAUCCAGCCAUUCCGCGUGAGUGAAGAAGGCCUUCGGGUUGUAAAGCUCUUUCGCAAGGGAAGAAAACUUAGAUACUAAUAUUAUCUGAGGUUGACGGUACCUUGAUAAGAAGCACCGGCUAACUACGUGCCAGCAGCCGCGGUAAUACGUAGGGUGCGAGCGUUAAUCGGAAUUACUGGGCGUAAAGCGUGCGCAGGCGGUUUUGUAAGUCAGAUGUGAAAUCCCCGAGCUCAACUUGGGAACUGCGUUUGAAACUACAAGACUAGAAUAUGUCAGAGGGGGGUAGAAUUCCACGUGUAGCAGUGAAAUGCGUAGAGAUGUGGAGGAAUACCAAUGGCGAAGGCAGCCCCCUGGGAUAAUAUUGACGCUCAUGCACGAAAGCGUGGGGAGCAAACAGGAUUAGAUACCCUGGUAGUCCACGCCCUAAACGAUGUCUACUAGUUGUUGGUGGAGUAAAAUCCAUGAGUAACGCAGCUAACGCGUGAAGUAGACCGCCUGGGGAGUACGGUCGCAAGAUUAAAACUCAAAGGAAUUGACCGGNNGAGAGNGCGAGACGACGACGAGGAGGAGG
rnacentral:rRNA from 1 species